AUUGAACGCUGGCGGCAGGCCUAACACAUGCAAGUCGAACGAGUGUCGGACGUGUGAGUAAUGUCUGGGAAACUGCCUGAUGGAGGGGGAUAACUACUGGAAACGUUAGCUAAUACCUCAUACCCUCGGAUCUGCCCAGAUGGGAUUCGCUAGUAGGUGGGGUAAAGUCUCACCUAGGCGACGAUCCCUAGCUGGUCUGAGAGGAUGACCAGCCACACUGCAGAUGAGAAAAGGUCAAGAUGCCUUCGGGAGGGAGACGUGGGGAAUAUUGACAAAUGGGCGCAAGCCUGAUGCAGCCCUGCCGGGUGUAGUAAGAAGGACUUCAGGUUGUAAAGUACGUGCAGUGGGGAGGCGUUACCCGCAGAAGAAGAACCGGCUAACUCCGAGCCAGCAGCCGCGGUAAUUC
rnacentral:rRNA from 1 species